UCUUAACAGGGUCCUCAAGGGCCUUUGGGAGUAUUAGGUCCAUUGGGUGAGAUUGGAGCAGUGGGUUUACCUGGGAAGGUUGGGGAGCGAGGCUUACCAGGUGAACCAGGAGAGAAGGGUGCUGCUGGAUCUCUUGGGAAUAUGGGAGAGCAAGGCUUGAUUGGACCUCGAG